rnacentral:lncRNA from 1 species
GUGUCUGUGGCGGUGGGAUCCCGCGGCCGUGUUUUCCUGGUGGCCCGGCCAUGCCUGAGGUUUCUCCCUCAGCCGCCCCUCUGCGGGCUCCCAGAAAUACUAGGCUUUAGAAUUUCACCAUAUGAAUUUUGGGAGAGAGGAGCACAGUUCAGCCCAUAACUAACACACGUGAUGAAGAAGACAUGCCAACAGAGGGUUAAUUCCAGAUAAAAUGAAAUGUUCCAAACAGUACGUUUGGUUAUUUGAUUCAUCUGUGGGGGAAGGAAAGAUAAUUUUCCAAAGGACAUUCCUCCUAAAUUCUGUCUUAAAGUUGUUUACGGAAUGAAGUUGAUAAUAGUGAGACCUUGUUGGUACAAGACUAUGUAACAUAACCUGCGCUUCUCAACAAAGAAUUGCUUUUCUGACUUCUGCACUCAACUACUCAACAUGAAGGCAAUAAGAAUGAAGACCUCUAUGUAUAAUAAUUGACUUCCACUUAAUAAAUAAGGUUACUUGGUACACUGGUCGACAAAACCUUGAAAUGUUGAUGUUUAAGGGCUGUUGAUUGCUGGCAGCAAAGAAGUCCAACUGUGCUGGUACCCGAGAUAGCGUCUCCACAUUUUCUUCCAGGAUCAUCACCUUUGUUCUAAAUAGCUCCCACAUAGUGUGAACAGAAGUCAUAUGUUUUAGAUUUUCUGCCUUGGCACCCAGG